ensembl:snoRNA Small nucleolar RNA SNORD59
CUUCUGUGAUUCAACAGUGACUUUAAUUCUUCUGAGUCUACUGAAGCCAAUGUCUGUUCUGAGAAAA